CCUACGGGAGGCAGCAGUGGGGAAUAUUGCACAAUGGGGGAAACCCUGAUGCAGCGACGCCGCGUGAGUGAAGAAGUAAUUCGUUAUGUAAAGCUCUAUCAGCAGGGAAGAAAAUGACGGUACCUGAGUAAGAAGCCCCGGCUAACUACGUGCCAGCAGCCGCGGUCAUACGUAGGGGGCAAGCGUUAUCCGGAUUUACUGGGUGUAAAGGGUGCGUAGACGGCAGUGCAAGUCUGGAGUGAAAGGCGGGGGCUAAACCCCCGGACUGCUCUGGAAACUGUACGGCUGGAGUGCAGGAGAGGUAAGUGGAAUUCCUAGUGUAGCGGUGAAAUGCGUAGAUAUUAGGAGGAACACCAGUGGCGAAGGCGGCUUACUGGACUGUAACUGACGUUGAGGCUCGAAAGCGUGGGGAGCAAACGGGAUUAGAUACCCGGGUAGUC
rnacentral:rRNA from 1 species